rnacentral:rRNA from 1 species
AAGCUUGCUUGUUGGGGUUGUAGGACACUCUAUACGGAGUUACAAAGGACGACAUUAGACGAAUCAUCUGGAAAGAUGAAUCAAAGAAGGUAAUAAUCCUGUAGUCGAAAAUGUUGUCUCUCUUGAGUGGAUCCUGAGUACGACGGAGCACGUGAAAUUCCGUCGGAAUCUGGGAGGACCAUCUCCUAAGGCUAAAUACUCUCUAGUGACCGAUAGUGAACCAGUACCGUGAGGGAAAGGUGAAAAGCACCCCGGAAGGAGAGUGAAAUAGAACCUGAAACCGUGUGCUUACAAGUAGUCAGAGCCCGUUAAUGGGUGAUGGCGUGCCUUUUGUAGAAUGAACCGGCGAGUUACGAUUUGAUGCAAGGUUAAGCAGUAAAUGUGGAGCCGUAGCGAAAGCGAGUCUGAAUAGGGCGUUUAGUAUUUGGUCGUAGACCCGAAACCAGGUGAUCUACCCUUGGUCAGGUUGAAGUUCAGGUAACACUGAAUGGAGGACCGAACCGACUUACGUUGAAAAGUGAGCGGAUGAACUGAGGGUAGCGGAGAAAUUCCAAUCGAACCUGGAGAUAGCUGGUUCUCUCCGAAAUAGCUUUAGGGCUAGCCUCAAGUGAUGAUUAUUGGAGGUAGAGCACUGUUUGGACGAGGGGCCCCUCUCGGGUUACCGAAUUCAGACAAACUCCGAAUGCCAAUUAAUUUAACUUGGGAGUCAGAACAUGGGUGAUAAGGUCCGUGUUCGAAAGGGAAACAGCCCAGACCACCAGCUAAGGUCCCAAAAUAUAUGUUAAGUGGAAAAGGAUGUGGCGUUGCCCAGACAACUAGGAUGUUGGCUUAGAAGCAGCCAUCAUUUAAAGAGUGCGUAAUAGCUCACUAGUCGAGUGACACUGCGCCGAAAAUGUACCGGGGCUAAACAUAUUACCGAAGCUGUGGAUUGUCCUUUGGACAAUGGUAGGAGAGCGUUCUAAGGGCGUUGAAGCAUGAUCGUAAGGACAUGUGGAGCGCUUAGAAGUGAGAAUGCCGGUGUGAGUAGCGAAAGACGGGGGAGAAUCCCGUCCACCGAUUGACUAAGGUUUCCAGAGGAAGGCUCGUCCGCUCUGGGUUAGUCGGGUCCUAAGCUGAGGCCGACAGGCGUAGGCGAUGGAUAACAGGUUGAUAUUCCUGUACCACCUAUAAUCGUUUUAAUCGAUGGGGGGACGCAGUAGGAUAGGCGAAGCGUGCGAUUGGAUUGCACGUCUAAGCAGUAAGGCUGAGUAUUAGGCAAAUCCGGUACUCGUUAAGGCUGAGCUGUGAUGGGGAGAAGACAUUGAGUCUUCGAGUCGUUGAUUUCACACUGCCGAGAAAAGCCUCUAGAUAGAAAAUAGGUGCCCGUACCGCAAACCGACACAGGUAGUCAAGAUGAGAAUUCUAAGGUGAGCGAGCGAACUCUCGUUAAGGAACUCGGCAAAAUGACCCCGUAACUUCGGGAGAAGGGGUGCUCUUUAGGGUUAACGCCCAGAAGAGCCGCAGUGAAUAGGCCCAAGCGACUGUUUAUCAAAAACACAGGUCUCUGCUAAACCGUAAGGUGAUGUAUAGGGGCUGACGCCUGCCCGGUGCUGGAAGGUUAAGAGGAGUGGUUAGCUUCUGCGAAGCUACGAAUCGAAGCCCCAGUAAACGGCGGCCGUAACUAUAACGGUCCUAAGGUAGCGAAAUUCCUUGUCGGGUAAGUUCCGACCCGCACGAAAGGCGUAACGAUUUGGGCACUGUCUCAACGAGAGACUCGGUGAAAUCAUAGUACCUGUGAAGAUGCAGGUUACCCGCGACAGGACGGAAAGACCCCGUGGAGCUUUACUGUAGCCUGAUAUUGAAAUUCGGCACAGCUUGUACAGGAUAGGUAGGAGCCUUUGAAACGUGAGCGCUAGCUUACGUGGAGGCGCUGGUGGGAUACUACCCUAGCUGUGUUGGCUUUCUAACCCGCACCACUUAUCGUGGUGGGAGACAGUGUCAAGCGGGCAGUUUGACUGGGGCGGUCGCCUCCUAAAAGGUAACGGAGGCGCUCAAAGGUUCCCUCAGAAUGGUUGGAAAUCAUUCAUAGAGUGUAAAGGCAUAAGGGAGCUUGACUGCGAGACCUACAAGUCGAGCAGGGUCGAAAGACGGACUUAGUGAUCCGGUGGUUCCGCAUGGAAGGGCCAUCGCUCAACGGAUAAAAGCUACCCCGGGGAUAACAGGCUUAUCUCCCCCAAGAGUUCACAUCGACGGGGAGGUUUGGCACCUCGAUGUCGGCUCAUCGCAUCCUGGGGCUGUAGUCGGUCCCAAGGGUUGGGCUGUUCGCCCAUUAAAGCGGUACGCGAGCUGGGUUCAGAACGUCGUGAGACAGUUCGGUCCCUAUCCGUCGUGGGCGUAGGAAAUUUGAGAGGAGCUGUCCUUAGUACGAGAGGACCGGGAUGGACAUACCUCUGGUGUACCAGUUGUCGUGCCAACGGCAUAGCUGGGUAGCUAUGUGUGGACGGGAUAAGUGCUGAAAGCAUCUAAGCAUGAAGCCCCCCUCAAGAUGAGAUUUCCCAACUUCGGUUAUAAGAUCCCUCAAAGAUGAUGAGGUUAAUAGGUUCGAGGUGGAAGCAUGGUGACAUGUGGAGCUGACGAAUACUAAUCGAUCGAAGACUUAAUCAA